rnacentral:tRNA from 3 species
AGGGGUAUAGCUCAGUUGGUAGAGCGGCGGUCUCCAAAACCGCAGGUCGAGGGUUCAAAUCCUUCUGCCCCUGCCA